CAGCGAACCACGCCGACGAGAGCACUUCAGAGAUACUCGACUCAGAAAACGGAAACACCACAGAUAUCAAUGACAACAGCAUGUGUCUGAACAGCAGUUCUGUGUCCAGAAAGGAUGUCUGUGACAAUCAGGCCCCAGACAAGUUCUACAGUGUACAGCAGGAAGCCUCAGCAAGCUAAUGAAGCACAGCAGGCUCGUAGUGGUUCAUCUAAAUUAUUGAAGACCAAUCCACCUGUAACCAUGACAACCG
rnacentral:lncRNA from 1 species